rnacentral:rRNA from 1 species
AUUGAACGCUGGCGGCAGGCCUAACACAUGCAAGUCGAACGAGUGGCGGACGGGUGAGUAAUGUCUGGGAAACUGCCUGAUGGAGGGGGAUAACUACUGGACACGGUAGCUAAUACCGCAUACCAUCAGAUGUGCCCAUAUGGGAUUAGCUUGUGGGUGGGGUAACGGCUUACCAAGGGGACGAUCCCUAGCUGGUCUGAGAGGAUGACCAGCCACACUGGAACUGUGAGACGGGCCAGACGCCUACGUGAGGCAGCAGUGGGGAAUAUUGCACAAUGGGCGCAAGCCUGAUGCAGCCAUGCCGCGUGUAUGAAGAAGGCCUUCGGGUUGUAAAGUACUUUCAGCGGGGAGGCGUUACCCGCAGAAGAAGCACCGGCUAACUCCGUGCCAGCAGCCGCGGUAAUAC